GUACUGUUGAAGAGUCCCAAACUAGGUCGAAACAGCUGUCCAGUAC
rfam:Trichobilharzia regenti genome assembly, scaffold: TRE_scaffold0056865